UGUUGGGUAGCCCAGCGGAAGAGCGUCCGGGCCCGGACCGGGAGGUCGGCGGUUUGACUCCGCCCCGGACGU
rnacentral:tRNA from 1 species